rnacentral:rRNA from 1 species
GACAGAGGCCUCAAGCGUUAGGCGGAAUCACUGGGCUUAAAGCGUGUGUAGGCGGAUCGUUAAGUGUCUUGUGAAAUCCCACGGCUCACCCGUGGAACUGCUGGGCAUACUGGCGAUCUUGGGCCAACUAGGGGCAACUGCAACAAGCGGUGGAGCGGUGAAAUGCGUAGAUAUCGCUUGGAACGCCAAAGGUGAAAACAGGUUGCUGGGGUUGUGCCGACGCUGAGACACGAAAGCCAGGGGAGCAAACGGG